CUUAAAGGAAUUGACGGGUCCCGCACAAGCAGCGGAGCGUGUGGUUUAAUUCGUUGCUACACGAAGAACCUUACCUGGGUUUGACAUAGCAGUGGUAGGGAAGAGAAAUCGGACCGACCUUCGGGGAGCUGUUACAGGUGUUGCAUGGCUGUCGUCAGCUCGUGUCGUGAGAUGUUCGGUUAAGUCCGCUAACGAGCGCAACCCGCGUUGUGUGUUAUAUGUGUCACACAAUACCGCCGGUAUUAAAGCCGGAGGAAGGUGCGGAUGACGUCAAGUCAGCAUGACCUUUAUAUCCAGGGCUACACACACGCUACAAUGGACAGUACAACAGGUUGCCAAGCCGCGAGGCGGAGCCAAUCCUCUAAAGCCGUCCUCAGUUCAGAUUGCAGGCUGCAACUCGCCUGCAUGAAGUUGGAGUUGCUAGUAACCGCAGGUCAGCUAUACUGCGGUGAAUACGUUCCCGGGGAUU
rnacentral:rRNA from 1 species